rnacentral:lncRNA from 1 species
GAAUGAAGCUGGAUUGUCCUGUUCUGAAAACAUUGGCAUGGAUCCUCCCAUUAUCCAGAGACGGAAAUACAAAAUGAGAAUCACAUAGCUUAUUACCAGAGCAGCUCUCUUCAAAAAAGGUCUUGCAGUGUACAAGAAAUUCUCAUUGUUAUUUGCAGUCAGGUAGCUGCGAAUAGCCCAGAUAGCUUUGCUGGGUACAGGAAGGCCACCGCUGCGCGGCUCCUCGGGGUGGCAGGAGCUCCAGGCAGUCCUGUGAGCAAAGCGAUGCUUCCCAUUCUCCCGGGAUUGGACUGGCAGCGAGGCAGGGAGUGAAGCUGCAGGAUGCCGGACAGGUCUUGUGUGGGUGCCCCCAUUCCUCAGUUUGAGGCCAUUGCAGGAGAGGGAAAAGAAGUCAUAUACCAAGCACACACCAAACACAGUGACUCCAGUUUCUUUCACGAGCAUUGCACACGUCCCAAG